UGGGGAAUAUUGCACAAUGGGGGAAACCCUGAUGCAGCAACGCCGCGUGAAGGAUGAAGGUUUUCGGAUUGUAAACUUCUUUAGUCAGGGACUAAUAAAUGACGGUACCUGAAGAAUAAGCCACGGCUAACUACGUG
rnacentral:rRNA from 1 species